CCGGCGAGUUACGAUUUGAUGCAAGGUUAAGCAGUAAAUGUGGAGCCGUAGCGAAAGCGAGUCUGAAUAGGGCGUUUAGUAUUUGGUCGUAGACCCGAAACCAGGUGAUCUACCCUUGGUCAGGUUGAAGUUCAGGUAACACUGAAUGGAGGACCGAACCGACUUACGUUGAAAAGUGAGCGGAUGAACUGAGGGUAGCGGAGAAAUUCCAAUCGAACCUGGAGAUAGCUGGUUCUCUCCGAAAUAGCUUUAGGGCUAGCCUCAAGUGAUGAUUAUUGGAGGUAGAGCACUGUUUGGACGAGGGGCCCCUCUCGGGUUACCGAAUUCAGACAAACUCCGAAUGCCAAUUAAUUUAACUUGGGAGUCAGAACAUGGGUGAUAAGGUCCGUGUUCGAAAGGGAAACAGCCCAGACCACCAGCUAAGGUCCCAAAAUAUAUGUUAAGUGGAAAAGGAUGUGGCGUUGCCCAGACAACUAGGAUGUUGGCUUAGAAGCAGCCAUCAUUUAAAGAGUGCGUAAUAGCUCACUAGUCGAGUGACACUGCGCCGAAAAUGUACCGGGGCUAAACAUAUUACCGAAGCUGUGGAUUGUCCUUUGGACAAUGGUAGGAGAGCGUUCUAAGG
rnacentral:rRNA from 1 species